ncrna:Pseudomonas entomophila L48 C4 antisense RNA
UGCUAUGGCAGCCGUGCGCGGGCAGGUUCGUCCUGACCGGUUUUCCUUCGUGGCCGGGUUCUCACUCCGCGCAUGGCUGCCACCCAA